rnacentral:rRNA from 1 species
GUCUACAGUCAUGCCAUCCUGAACACACCUGAUCUUGGAAGCUAAGCAGGGUUGUGCUUGGUUAGUACUUGGAUCGGAGACCACCUAGGAAGGCCAGGUGCUGUAGACU